rnacentral:ncRNA from 1 species
AAUAAAUAUUGGUAAAUAAUGGAAACAUUAUGACGCAAAGCUAAAGGGUCUUUAAAAUGACAGCCAGCUGCAAUU